GGUUUGUAACUUGAGAAGCAAGUUAAAAAAUAAGGGACUAAUCUGAAAAUAAAGAGGGACUAGGAUAGAAAACUACAAAAUCUGAUAAGGCCUCAUUUGUGCCAAUAAAAGGGUAUGCUUUUCGCUCCAUUCACAAAUUUUUGACUCUCAAAGAUGCCCUCCAGAAACAGUCUUUCUCCAGUUUCAUAUCUGGGAGUAGAAGUUCAUAAUUCAAAACCCAAAAACUAUAGAAACCCUUCGAAAAUAAAAAAACAAAAAGCAAUAAAAAAACUCAAAACAAACACUGUUACAUUGAGUUCUAGACCAAUUUCAAGUCUUAGUGGUUGUUCUCCUAAUGAUUCAAGUGCUACAAAGUUCCUGGAGUCAGAUUUGGUUUAUUUUGGUAAAUUCUGGUUUAUUGAAACUUUAGAGGUGUUUUAUGGUUGGAUUUCGAGAAAUUUUGGGUUUAGUUGAGUCAUUUUGGGGUCAGCUAUUGGGUGAUGUGUUUUCUGUGAGGAAUUCGUGGGUUUUUGUGAAGUGACUUUGGUUCAAAACUGUUCCUAUUGUUGCUGUUUGGGAUUGCGGGAUUCCAAUUGUUUUUAAUUGCUGCUGAUCCUUCUCUCCCUUUACAUUUAUUUGCAAUUCCAGGUACUUUUCUUAUAGACUCAAGUGAAGUGGAAAUUCGAGUCCACAUGUAUGAGCAAUGAUUGGAUUAAACGAAGAAGAUGAUGUCUACCUUACAUAUGAAAUCUUCAAAUGUUGUUUAGUUUUAAUUGUCAACCCUGAUAUUCAUUAGAUAAAUACAUAUUUGUAUUAAUUCGGACUAUCGAAACUGUUAGUUGACAAUAACUUCAAUUAAUUCAGUAUUGAUUCUCAUGUAGACUUGAAGUUUGAGAUAGAGUAAAUGUCGACUGAAAGUGAAAUUUGAAAAUAUGAACCUAUGUGUACCUUGUUAUAAAAGUGAGUAGCACCUGGUGUUAAGAAUAUUAAAUCGUUUAUUUCCAAUUCCAGGUACUUUUCUUAUAGACUCAAGUGAAGUGGAAAUUCGAGUCCACAUGUAUGAGCAAUGAUUGGAUUAAACGAAGAAGAUGAUGUCUACCUUACAUAUGAAAUCUUCAAAUGUUGUUUAGUUUUAAUUGUCAACCCUGAUAUUCAUUAGAUAAAUACAUAUUUGUAUUAAUUCGGACUAUCGAAACUGUUAGUUGACAAUAACUUCAAUUAAUUCAGUAUUGAUUCUCAUGUAGACUUGAAGUUUGAGAUAGAGUAAAUGUCGACUGAAAGUGAAAUUUGAAAAUAUGAACCUAUGUGUACCUUGUUAUAAAAGUGAGUAGCACCUGGUGUUAAGAAUAUUAAAUCCGAGUGAAAAUAAAAUAAUAGUUCGGUUUAUGGAGUAAAAUAAGCCAGUUCUGAUUCAAUAAGGCCUUCGCUAAUCUAAUGUGUAGGUUGUUCCAUUUAUGGUUGAGUAUGUGAAUUCUUUAGAUGUUUUGAAAAAAAAAU
rnacentral:lncRNA from 1 species